rnacentral:tRNA from 1 species
GGAGGAGUACCCAAGUGGCUGAAGGGGCGGCUUUGCUAAAGCUGUAGGCUGGGGUCUACCUGGCGCGGGAGUUCGAAUCUCCCCUCCUCCGCCA